UAUGCGGAAAGCCCAACUAAGAAAAGCAGGUAAAAAGAAAACAAAAAAAAAAGAGAGCGAAUAAAGGGGGAUGCCUUUACUAUAUUAGCUACUAAACUGGUAAAGUAGGAGAUAUCUUAUCUAACGCAGUGGGAAAAGUCAUAGAUCCAGCCAUUUUGUGCAAGAAAUUGGGUAUUUGUUUUAGUACAACAGCAAGAUCUCUUGAUAAUGAAUCUGAUGUGGCCAGCAAUUCAGGUUGAAAGAGGUUGUUUGUAUGUUGGUGUCCAAAUUUGAAGUUGCCUUACUUGCCGAGCAGGCGGAGAUCUAAGAGAAUUGCACUGGAUGUGCUUGAUGAACUUGAAAGUGAAGUGGAUGAGGAGUUUGAAUCAAGAAAAUUGAAAGAGGAAGAGGUCAUGGCAGAUCUGAAAGAUGAAAAUUUUACUAUUAUUGAGAUAUUUGGUAUGGGUGGAGUUGGAAAGAUAAUUCUUGUUGAUUUAUCUAGAUAAAGGGAAAAAGAGAGGUCGUUCCGGUUGCUUAUUUGUGUUUAGGAGAUUUUGAAUGUGUUGUUCCACCUAUUUCGAAAAAAACAGCGGACACUGUUCUAAAAAGGAAUGCGGAGUUUGUUGCAGUUGACGCUUUUCUUUUUCAACAUUGAGAAGUCAUUGAUGAAUUUGAGAAAUUUGAGAAAGUAUUUCAGUGGUAGCUGGAUCAAUAUCUCUCUUUGCUUUGCCGCAAAAAUAUUUGUGUUGCUUGGAAAUGGUUGAAAUAGGGGCCUCAAACUUUUGCAGGUUUAUUGUCCCAGCUUGGAACAGCUAACUUUCGAUUGGCUACUUCAGCAAACUUGAAAUAUUGGAAAUAAUCGAGUGUGGCAUACUGAGAAACUUGAUGUCUCCAUCAGUGACAGAUAUGUUGUGAAUCUCCAAACAUUGCAGAUAAGAAACUGUGCAUUGAUGAAAGAAGUCAUCGCGGAAGGGUAACUAAGAGAAGAAAUUACUAACUUGUCCUUAUUUCCCGAUUGGAAAGAGCUAGAGGUGAGCAAGCUACCAAAACCUGAUGCAUUUCUUUCCGAUGAAGCACGCUCUAGAAUUUCCAUUUCUUAGCUCUUCUGAAAUGAAGAAUUUGAAAUGCCUGAUCGAAGAAAAAAUGUCAAAGAUGCCGAGGCGUAAGAUGAUCUCAGUAAAUCAAUUUUAAGUGGCUUAGCCAAAACAGAAUUCUUUUCUUUAUGAGCUUCCCAAAAUGAAAAAUGGCUAAAUCAAAGAUUGUUCAUUGUUGCACCAAGUCCUUAUGCAAAUUUAUGAAGGUUGAUUAUAUGCUUUUCUUCCCUAGUUCUGGAAAACAAAAAAUAUGGUCCAACUUCUUGAGAGAGCUUUCGGAGAUUAAACAGAUGGUCAUGCAAUCUUGAAUCGAAAAAUGUACUACUUCCUUUUCAAUUUAUGUGAACUUAUUUGGUUGAGACUAAAGUUUUAAGGAAGAUUUUUGAAAUUUAUGAUUUUGACCAUGUCAUAACAUUUGUGUUUCUAUAAAAGCUUCUCAGUAAUAGUAAAAUGAGAAGUUUAAACUAAAUUAGUUUCAAUGGUAAACACAGUCAUUCUUUUUAAACUGGCUAGAAAGAAAAUACAUUCAUGUAAAUCAAAAUGGAGGAAUUAUUUGUUAAUCAAUAUUGAUACGGUCAUAAACUUUAUAAGUAUGCCUCUCUCUGUUCUUUUCAGCCAGAUCUAUGAACAAGUUCCCUACUAAGACUAUGGUUUCCUUUACUAUAUUAUUAGCUACUCCCUCUGUCCCAGUUUAUAUUACUCACUUCCUUCUUAGUCAGCCUCCAAAAAAUGAUAUAUUUCUAUCUUUAGUAACAUUUUAGCUUUAAAAUAUUUAUUUUACUCUUAAUGAAAUGAUUUAUAGCCACACAAAUAUCUAUGAAUUAUUUUAGACCACAAAUUUCAAGAGUUUUUCUUUCUUUCUUAAAAUUUGUGCUGAGGCAAAGAAGGAGAUAGUUAUGUUGUGGGGAAAGUCAUAGAUGGCUUGAUCCAACCAGUUGUGCAAGAGGUGGUAUAUGUUUUACUACAAAAACAAAACCGACAUUGUUUCAUAGAAAAAUCAAACUGUUGUUAACCAAGCAUAAAACUAAUGUAUCUAAUAAAUAUAGUUUGAUGGCCUUGAACACAACAAGAAAUUCAGUGACAGAAUUGCAACCAGAACAUCUUGCUUGCACACAAGAUUAUGCAUUGGACCAGUGCAUCAAAUUAGCUUUUGUGUUUCAAGUAGCACAAUGAAAUAUAUGAUCCUUAUCCAUUCCUUUUUAACUUGUUUUCUUAGUCUUAAUGAGUGCAUGUGCACCCGUCUCUUCCACGUGGAUCCACCUCAUCUUUUUAUGCUGCGCAAGCUGCAUGUGUUUGCACCCUCCAACUUGAGGGGUGUUGACAUUGGCCCAUCUUUCAGAUCAAUCCAGGCCCAAGUUAAGAUUGAGCCUGGUCCAUAUUUCUGUAUAGUUAAAUACGCCUAUUGUACUGAGGACUCGUUACACAAUGAGAUAAUAUCUCUUUCUUCUCCCUUUUAGGGUUUCCUCAAAUCAUGGAUCUGCAAUUUUGUAGAUCUGACAGUUACUUGUUGAGCAGGAGAGCUAAGAAAAUUGCAAUGGAUGUGCUUCAACUUCAAACCAAAGGCAGAGAUUAUGUUGAUUUCUCCUAUCCUGCACCAACAUCUGUUGGAAUUGAAGCAAUACCAAGUAAAGGCGACGAGGAGUUUGAAUCAAGAAAAUUGAUUGAGAAAGAGGUAAUGGUAGCUUUGAGAGAUGAGAGUGUCACUGUUAUUGGGGUAUAUGGUAUGGGCGGAGUAGGAAAGAUAAAACUUGUUUACAAAGAGCGAAGUAGGAAAGGUUGUUCGAUGAUGUUGUCAUCGCAACUUUCAGACUGAUUACAAGGUGAAAGUUUGUGGUUGUGGAGAUUUGUGUUCGAGGCGACCAUAAAUAUUGAUAGAAAGUGACAUUGACUAUGUUUCUCUGGAAUGUUGGAAUCUUAUCCGAAAAAGCACACUGAGGGUAUCGACGUCUAUGGUGGGAGGUCACAAAAAACCAACAAACUUUUAAAAAAUGCCGAAAGUGCAUGACAACUAAAGUGUAAAAGUAAGUCUUCUUGGGAGGAUACCCUAACUCUUAGUUGUUUCUGCCGCGGAUGCGGGAGGCUAUCCUGUCAAUUAGAUAUUCCCGUUCUCAGAUGAGGGUUCUCUCUUGUUCUUUCAAAGUUUGAAUGUGGUUAAAGUGUGGUUGUAUUCAUUGUUCCACCAACUCCGGAUCUGGAUGAGCAGCAAACAUGUGUUCCCAAAAGGCAAGCAGAGGUUGUUGUCGUUCGCGCUUUGCAUUUCAUCAUUUAUAAUUAUUUGAUUAAUUUGAGGAAGUCUAGUGCUUGCUGUAUCCAUAUUUCAAUUGUUGCAAAAUAAUUUGAUGAGCUUCCUAACCAAUAUUUUCGUCAAACCUUGAGUUGCGAAUGUUAAAACUCUUUGAAUGAUUUUCUUGUUGGAAUGAGUAAACUCAAUGUCUUAACAUGGUAACUCCAUUGUGCCCUUUCCAGUAUCGGUUCGAUUGUUGUCAAAUCUAGUAUGUCUGAUUCAUUAAUGUUAGAUGACAUAUCAUGAUUUGUGAACUUGUUAAUUUAGAAAUUCUCAACAAUAAAGAUUAUGCCUUAAAGGUUAGAGUUUUGGAAAAUUGACCAAUCUAAUUAUGUUAAGAGUUUUGGAUUAUGAGGAACAACACUUGAAAGGAUUACACUAGGGAUCUUAGUUUCAUUAAAGGAACUAUAUAUUGUGAAAGUAGAACAUUUAAGUUACUCGACCUUGAGUGAGCUGGAAUCCUAAUCAUAAUUGUGCUGACCGAGUUGCUACUGGAUGGAUUUCUUUACUUCAUGUUACCUUAGUGUAGGAUAUUGAGAUAUGGUUCCAUAUUUUCUAUUUGUAAUUGAAGAUGUAAGAAAUGCAAGGUUUCCAACUUUUGAGCCUAGAACGACUAGACCUAGUUGGGGCUGACAGCAUAACUGCUCUAUGCUCUCACCAACUUCCGAAUGGCUAUUUCAGCAAAACAUGAAAUAUUGGAAGUAAUCGAAUAUGGCAAAUUGAGAAACUUGAUGUCUCCGUCAGUGGCAACAUGUGUUCUGAGUCCCUGAAUAUUAUAUAUAGGAAACUGUCAAUCGAUGGAGGAAGAGAUCACGGGAGAGGAACAAGGAGAAGAAAUGACUAACGAGUCCUUAUUUCCCUGUUGGAAUAGCUGAAGCUUAGCAAGCUACCAAAGCUGAUGCAUUUCUUUCCGACGAAGCACGCUCUAGUAUUUUCGUUUCUUAAAGAAGUCAACAUUAAAAGCUGUAAAGGCAUUUGUCCUAAGAUCCAAGAGUACACCAAGUCUGAGGAAUGACUGAUCCAAGGAACAAGAAGCUAGCAAUGACGACGAAUAUGAAGCUAGUGAUGUCUAUGGAUCCAAAACUAGCGGGUGUUCCCCCCAUGGUAGCUAGUCUCAGAUGUUCCUAGAGUGCCUGGAGAAAUAUAUGAUAGUUUUUUAAGGUUUCUGGAUGAGACUCUUAACACUCUAUAAUAUUACAUAUCUCACCUCAGGGCUAAUAGAAAGUUCCAAGUCCGAGUUAUAGGAGCAACCAUCCGAAGAAGUAAAGUCGAGCCAAACAGGAAGUGAACUGAAAGAAGCGAACUGAAAACGGAUAAAGGUUAGCUUCAAGAGAACAGUUGCCAUCCAUUGCGAGAAAGAUCCCAAUUCCGGAUAUGCUGUUUUAUGUCGCUCAUUGACUUGAUUGGGACAUUCUUGUUUUAAUACGUGAAGAUGGUGAUGAAUCCUAAUAUAUUGCCAGAAUCUUUUCGAUUGUUCUCUCGUUACACUAGAUGUAUAUAAAGAGUUUUUUCCGAAGUAAACGGGUCAGUGACCCCCUCCCAGCUAUGUAGGUCUGUGGUCCGCCUCUGUAGUAUUUAUAUAAGGGGAAUACUGCAGGUAUUCUUUUAUUUUCUCAAGUCGAUUUUGAUUUCUUUUUAAACAAUUCUGUUUAAUAAUUCUAUGCAUUUUAUGUAAUGGCUAAUGGCCUUGGCCAAAAUAUAACUCUUUUCUUUAGGAGCUUUCUAAAAUGAAGAAUGGCAAAAUCAAACAUUGUUAAUUGUUGAGCAAAGUCCUAAUGCAAUUUGUAUGAAGGUUGAUGAUAUGUUUUUCCU